GACAGAGGAUGCAAGCGUUAUCCGGAAUGAUUGGGCGUAAGGCGUCUGUAGGUGGCUUUUUAAGUCCGCCGUCAAAUCCCAGGGCUCAACCCUGGACAGGCGGUGGAAACUACCAAGCUGGAGUACGGUAGGGGCAGAGGGAAUUUCCGGUGGAGCGGUGAAAUGCGUAGAGAUUGGAAAGAACACCAAUGGCGAAAGCACUUUACUGGGCUAUCACUGACACUGAGAGACGAAAGCUAGGGUAGCAAAUGGG
rnacentral:rRNA from 1 species